AGCGGCAGGCUGGGUGUGCACCUGAGCAAACAAGAUCUGCGUGCGCGGGAUCGAGGAGACUCCUCCUUGGUUGAUGAAGCAAGACGCGGGUCGUCGGAGUUGCUCACAGCAGGCCGGCGGCCCCGCGCUGCAUGUGCCGCCGGUCAAGUGAUCUGGGCAUAAACGCAGCGGAAAAGGAGCUAGACCUGAUCUGACGGAGACAAUCAGACAAGAUUCACUAGCAAUUAAGCGGCCAUGUGUGCCCCUCGGCUCUCUUUUUUUCCCUGCGUUAAAUGUCACUUGUGUAUGAGAGCGAAUUUGCAAUAUCACUUUCACUUAGCAGACUACCAAGCGAUUCGACAUAUAACAUGUCUAUGUGCAAUCCUGUUUCUGUUCAUCAUUAGCGUGCCAAUGAGAUUGAAUAAGCUAAGCUGUUGGAUGUUUACCACACGAUUCAAAACUGAAUUUUGUUCUAAGACCUGGGGUGUCAAAAUCCGAAUCCCCGUACUAAUCUGAUGUCUCCAUCUACUAAGCAUCAACAAGGCAACUCUUGCAGUCCCACUUUUGGCCUUGAGUUUGGAAUUUCAAUUCCCUGCAAUGCUGGAGUUACGUUGUUCUGCGUAUUGCGUGUGGUGGGGCUCACGCUGUGCUCGUGCAGAGAGCUUUAUGUCCCAUGGGCCGGGCUUAUUCGGACCUAGCCUUUUACAAACCCAGCCCAAAAAUGUCUAGUGUGAGCCAGUCCUAAAUGUACAAUGGUGGCAGUAGUUAUUUGUAAAAUUGCCUCGGAAAAUAAAGGAGGUGUAUGUAAAAGCAAUCUAAUUUUAUCAGGGGAGAGGAAGGCUAAUAUAUUUGGAUGCGGUUUUACUUCUUUUGUUGAUCGUUCUGCGUCAAGUUGCCUUUCCUUUUUCUUCGGGCUGAAAAGGGGUUUUAUUCCAAAAUUAUAGAAUUACAAAGCAGAGGCGAGAAUUCCUCGAUACAUGGAGGCCCGUGUGUAGCGAAACAGUGGUGACACAUUCAGUAUGACUAUACCUCGCUAAACAGUCCGCCACCCUAUUUUGAGAACGAUGAAGCUUUUGAGGAAUAAACUCCCAAACCUUGUGUAAGGCUAGAAUCUCCAAUGCCGGGUGUCCAUAUGAUGACCGGACUAGUGACUCAUCACUGAAGAUAGUUAGGGCCGUGGACGAGUCCGACUGCACAUUGACCGAAAGUUCCGCGUGUUGCAGGGCUAACACCAUGCCCUGCAUCAUAGCGUGAAUUUUCGCUUCUAAUGCCUCAUUGUAGUGGAACAAAUACGUGUAGGCCGCGACCAUUGUUGUAUCAUCAUGUUUCCGAAUUAUCAUGCAUGAUAUUGCAGUGUCGUCCACACUUGAAAAAGCACCAUGCACCGAAAGCAAAACCUUGUCCACCAUCGGGGGAAUCCAUUUAGGCCUUGUUCGGUUACACCCUGUCUCAAGGGGAUUGGAGGGGGUUUGGGGGGGAUUUGACUUGUAUGGGAUUUAAUCCCUGCCAAACCUCCUCAAAUCCAUGCCAACCGAACACAGCCUUAGGAGGAGUAGCAGUGGACACAGGUCUCGCCAUCUCAACUUCUACGACCAGGGGCAUUUUUUCUUCGAUCAUCUCCGCCAUUGAAAACCUAGGCAUGAUCAAGGGACCGCCAAUAGCUCCGUAGGAAUUACAUGCAAGUAGUAACAAGAAGGACUUGGUUCCCAUGCAAUGUAUCAUUCCUCAGUUACCCGAUCCACCAAAAUAAUAAGAAGUACUAUGAUGCGUACAUUUUGCUGGCAUCCAUGGAGGACAUAAAAGAAGCCAGUCCUGGCCAGUAUCCCGCAACAACUCCGUGGCCGGAAGUGGCCAGACAAGGCGCAUGCAAUCCCAUAGCUAGCAUUCAUGAUCACAUGUAACUAGAGCAUGAAAAGAUGAUUCAAUAUGCACGCCACACAUGGGUCACGACGAUGCAAAUGAUGAUUUGAUUUUCCUUUUGUUGUCAACAAUGCUCCCGAGCAGGCCUUCCAUGCGUGAAUUUUCAUCUUCUUUGUGGAACCUUUGCUUGCCAUAUCAAAUUCGACAACCUCAUCGACCCAUCAUUCACGCACCAUGUUCAUAAAAAAAAUCAGAAAUAUGGUUAAGCCUGCAAUUACCUUUAUGUGUGAUCAGUCUGCAUGAUGGGCCUUUAGGGGUCCACGGAUCCCGCCAUGUUCUCACAUAUACCUUUCCCUUAUAUUGACUACUAGAAAAUACCCCACGCCUUGUUGUGUGAAUCGUUUGCAAUAUAUUUCAGUGAUUCGAUUGUAUGAAAAAAAGCAUAUUUGAGUUAAUAAUAUAUAAACUAAAACUAAAAUAAUAUUUUAUUUUAUUAUUAUAUUUGAAAAAUAUUUUGAAUAUAAGUAGCAUAAUAUAAUAGACAACUUUUUCUUGCAUGCCAAGUGAACCUUUGAUGAGGUUGCAUUUUGUGGUGAAGUGAGAUGUGUGCAUGGGAUCAAGUAAUAGUGGAAAAACUUUUUCUCAUGCAUUAUUGUGAUGGCCUUAGAUGAGCUGGCAUGUGUGCAUGUUAAAAUAAUAUAAGCAGCGGGGAUAAAUAUUUAUGUAUAUAAGAUUUGUCUUUCCGUUGUGUACAGUAAAACUAACACAUUUUACGUUUUAGGACUGAUUGGGGUGAAACUUUAUUUUUUUUUAAGAAAAGGAGGAUGACCCCCGGCCUCUGCAUCUGGGCGAUGCAUACAACUAAUGACGGUUCGUCAAUUAAUCAAUGUUAAUUAACUAACAUGUAAAUCUAUUUCUAACAGUGGUGAAGUGAGAUGUGUGCAUGGGACCAACUAAUAAUGACAAACCUUUUUCUCAUGCAUGAUUGUAAUGGCCUUAGAUGUGCUGGCAUGCGCGCAUGUUAAAAUAGUACAGGUAGUGGGGAUAAAUAUUUACGUAUAUGGGAUUUGUCUUUCCGUUGUGUACGGUAAAACUCAAACACAGUUUACGUUUUAGGACUGAUUGGGCUGAAACUUUAUUUUUAUUUUUUUAAAAAAAGAAGGAUGACCCCCGGCCUCUGCAUCUGGGCGAUGCAUACAACCAUUUUAUUAAUUAUUAACAAUGACCUUAUAAAGUAAUACAUCAGUAAGUUUGAAGCCACCAUCUUGGCAAUAUCUGUCGUUACUCCUAACCACUUUAUGAAGGGGUGUCGAAAGUCCGAACCGAAUACCAAAUAGACCUCGCACCAAAGCUCAAUAUCUAAAGCUGGAGGCGCCAACCAAGCCUCUUGCCGGGUCUGCGACAUACACCGGUCCGACGGCGGGGAGGGGAUGCCCCGCCACCGCCGUCAGCCAUCAGGCUUAGCCCAGUGGCGUCCUUUGACAGCAACGGGGGGAGAGGAAGACGGAGGGAGAAGCCUGGCAGCUAGGGUUUUGGGGCACCCAAGUCGCCUGGGGUAUAGGGGCGAUGCGGAAUGGGGCGGAUGCACCGGCUAGUAAAUCCAAAAAAUAAACCUAGUGAAGUGAGGAGAAUUCCUCUGUUCAUGUAGCAAAAAAAGAAAAAUCGGACUGAUUCAUAUGAAUAAUUACAGCUUUGCUGCUGGUAAACGCAGAACCUAAUUAUAAUCAGUACAGUAGCCAACGACUGCUUAAAAAACUGCAGAGCUUCCAAGUGGAACUGAUGACACUCCAAUUUGCGGUUUCUUUGAACAUUUCGUACUGUGUUUUCUUUCUUUUGGUGUAUCACGUGUCCUCUAGUCAUCGCCGAGUCACCCGAAACUGUGUGAGCGAGCAAUCACCAGAUUGGAAGAUGUGGACGUCGAACAGAAGAUGUGCUCAGCCCGGUCAGCACCAAGCAGGCGGUGACUCACUUGCGUACGUAGCGUUGUGUCGACACUCUCCGCGUCAAACAAAAACCAAACCCUUUAGUCCCCACUCUCCAACCAAUACCAACAAUAAAUUUCUGAAGUCACCACAAAGGAAAGAGUUCUUAAAAAAUUCUGGAGGCGAGCGUGCAACCAUUUUCAACCGUGCACAUCAGCUACUAGUAUUAGUGUAGCAGAGUCUUGUGCGCCGGUCACUGUCUGCUGAGCAAGGUUACUUGCAGACUCCAAAGAUUACGUGCAGCUGCUCCACUGUUAGGCUGGUCAUAGUGGGGAGUAACUUAGACUAGUAACAUACAUAUAUUACUAGUCUAUGUUACUACCUUCAUAGUGGGUAGUGUUAUAGGUGUGGUAACAUAGUUGCCUUCAUUUAUUACUUUGUAGACUCAUUAUGCAUUGGAAACCGCUAUGUGAUGGUAACAUAUUAUGUUACUCUAUUUGCCUCUCUCCUCAUUAACUACUUGCCACAUCAUCAUUUUUGCUUAUGUGGCAUCUAUGUUACUACCUAUGUUACUCCCACUAUGACCAGCCUUAAGCUAGGCACUAAAUAAAUUGGCCGCGCAGAUCUCAACAGAGCUGCCCCCUAGGACGAAGUCUCCCCCGCCUGCCGGCAAUGCGAGAUCGAGAUGCGUUUGCCCGUACUAGCAUAUUCAGGAAAACCACACGUACAGACGUCAGCCCCAAAAACUACCAGUGGAAUCUUCAGGCGCGUGCAACUGUAAAUUACAGUCUGCAAGGUGCAUCCCCCUUGGCUCGAAACGUGCUCGGCAACCCCGAUGAUGAGACCAACUGGGAGCCUUAGCGCCGCGCGCAAAAAAUCUGUUAGCGCGCGCGCUGCGGCUGAUUUUGCGCGCCCGCCUGCGCUGGCUCCAGCAGCCGCGCUGAAAUGCAGCGCGCGCCGCUCCAGCAGCGCGCUAAAAUGCAGCGCGCGCGACUAGAAAUGUAUGCAUUUUUAAAAGUUGAAAUUUAAAAAAAAAACUAGAUAGAUUGCAUAGAUUAAACGAUACAAAGGUAUUUUACAUCCGAAACAUAAAUUGCAUAAAAUAAAAAUGACAAACGAUAAACAUAGAUUGCAUUAACAAAAAAAAAAACUACUCUAAGUCGCUAUCAUCAUCACCACUAUCAUCCUCAGCGGUGUCGUCCGAGGUAGAUAGCCAGAUGUCCAGCCACCGCUCAUCGUUCGGCGUGAAGAACGACCGCCCACCUGCUGCAACGAGGUCGGACUGCGCAUUCGCCAACGCCUUCCGUCGACGCCUGUCCAACCGCGACGCGCGGCGCCUUUGCGUGUCCUCCUUGCGGCGCCUUGCCCAGUAGGCUUGCUCGUAGGCGACGUCCUCCGGGUGGCGCUGGUGCCAGUCCGCCAUGACCCUCUCGUCCUCCUGGGCGAUGAGGAGGCGGCGUUGCCGCUCGGCGUGCUCCGCACGGUCUUCCGCCGUGUUCAGACGAGGCAGAGGGGCGAGGUUGAGCGCUUGCUCGAGCGUGUACACAUCUUGGAAGUUCAUCUGGCCGCGCGGCCGGCCUAGGCGCCACGCCGCCGCGUCGUACGCCCGGGCGGCCUGUCGCGCCGUCCCGUACGUGCCGAGGGCGAGCCGGAGUUCGCCGGAGCGUAUCUCCGUGGUGUAGCUGUCGUUGGGCCGCAGGCGGACGCCGCGGUAGCCGGACGCUCCUCGGCGGCGCGGCGGCAUGGCGGCGCGGCGGUGGCGGGGCGCUGGAGCGGCGCGUGGCAGAGAGGGAGAGGGAGAGGGGAAGAGAUGUGUGUGGAGAAGGCGCGUGGCGCGCGCAGCUUUUAUAGGCGCGCGAAGCGGCGCGCCAAAUCUUGCGCGCGAGCUGGCGCCUUUUCGCGCGCGCGCGUAAACGGUUUCCGCGCGCGCUUGUUUCCCUCGGCCGCUGGAGCACGGCAAACCGCCCCGCGCGCGCUAAAUGCUGCAUUUACCGCGCGCGCGCGUCGUUUUUGGCCACUGUUGGAGAUGCUCUAAACAACACACAUGUUAUGAGGCCAACUCCACCGCGCGACCCCAAACGGACAUCCCUUUUGUCCGGAUUUUGUCCGUUUGGGCAGAGGAUGGGUCGUGUCCGGGCCUGUUCAGGGGUGCGCCCAGCGCGCGGCCGCAUCCUUUACCCCAUCCCGUCUGCGUCUAUUUAAAAAAGAAGAAGAAAUAUUUCAAAUGCCAAGCCCUACGGCCCCAGUUCAUCACGCACGCCGGCAAUAAAGCCAGCGGCCUACACGUCCAUUGCCGGCAUCAGCCAGCGGUCGACAACACAGCCAACUUCCAAAAUGUAUGGUUGUCAACCAGCGGCCGGCAACACAGUCGGACUUCAAAAUGAAUGUUUUUCUCGCCGGCACACGGCCAGCGGCCCAGCGGGGCGGGUGGCAACCAUGCCAGCCUCCUAAAAAGAACGGCCACGGCCGAUCGGACGACCUAGUUCAGGCCGUCAGCGUCGAGCAUCUCCUUCUGACUGGCCUCGAACCAGGCCCUCAUCUUCUCGCUCAUCUUUGACGAGUCCACGCUCAUGAUCGUCAGGGCCACCUCUUUCGCUUUGGUGGCGGCAUUGGUGGCCUCGAUGUCGAGCUGCCUUUGCCUGGCCUUGACGUUGUUGGCCUCGAUGUCGAGCUGCCUUUGCCGGAGCGCCUCCUUGAUGUCGAGCUGCCUCUGCCGGGCCGCCUCCUCCAUGUCGAUCUUCCUUCUCUUGGCCGCCUUCUCCAUCUCAAGCUUCUUCGUUUGAAGCUCUAGGUAUUGCUUCAUUUGCUCGUCCUUACUUUGCUGCUUCUUCUUGUCCCUCACAUCUUUUUACGACAUCAUGCCAUGCAAAAUGUCAUGCAAUGCCAUGAAUGAGGCAUCACGAAUGUCAUCAACCUUGGAGUUGGUCUUGCCCCUCGGCCUCUUCAACGCCUCGCCAUCUCCACCUCCGGCGAACUUGGCCAUCUUCAGGCCUCUCUUCCUUUGGAGUUCACGGUAUUGGUCCUUAAACUUAGGGCAAUUGUUGAUCAUAGUCCAACAAUGUGUAAGAGUGAACGGCUUGUCAUUGUGCCGGGCCUUGAAUGCCUCCAAAAAUUGAAAUGCCUACACCAUAUGAUUGACAACAAAGUGAACAUGCAAACAUCUGCAAGGCCGAAGUCUCAUGGCCGUACCGUGGCUUCCUUGGCGCCUUACCCUUCUUCUUCUUGGCCAUUCCGGGCGGGUCGGCGGCCAGCCCGCCGGAGUUCGGCUGGACGUCGGCCAUGGACGGGGGAGAGAGUGGGACGUGCGGGACGAGGGAAGGUUUGGGGGGAAUGGCGCCAAAGAGGCCGGGGGAGGGGGGGUUUGCUUUGUUUCACAGACAUGUGGGCCAGGGACGGACAAGCGCGCGCGUCCCGCCCGUCCGCGCGCUGUCCGUUUCGCCCCUAAAACGACGCAAACUUGGGCCGCGGAUGAGUCGAAAACGGACACAAAACGGAUAAAUAUCCGUUUGCUCCCAUGCGCUGAGCCGUUCGGCUCUCCUUUUCUCCCGCGUGCCCCUCCCAGUCCCUCGGCUCUCCUUUUCUCCUGCGUCAGUGCCACUUCUGUAUGAUAGCAAGUUUGCUUUAGGCAAUAGCACUUUCACAGGGUAAACCAUCAAGCGAAUCGGCAUAUAACAUGUCUUUGUGCAAUCUUGUUUUUGUUCAUGAUUCAGCGUGCUGAUGGGAUUUAGCAAAGCUAAACCGUUGGAUGUCUACCACAGGAUUAAAAACUGAAUUUUGUUCUAGACCUGGGGUGUCAAAAACAGAAUCCCCAUACUAAUCUGAUGGCUAAACUCGGUCGACCAAAUUUAAAACAAUCCCGGUCAACUAAAG
rnacentral:lncRNA from 1 species